rnacentral:sRNA from 2 species
CUAAAGCGCAUGAGGGAUAGAAGUGGAAAUCCUUUUUGUCCGCCACGGCGGACAAAAAGAUUGAAACGGAUAGCCCGACCCACU